rnacentral:tRNA from 1 species
GCGCAAGUGGCGGAAUUGGUAUACGCGUACGACUCAGAAUCGUAUGGUUAACACCAUGUGGGUUCAAGUCCCGUCUUGCGCACCA